rnacentral:sRNA from 1 species
GCACUAUUGAAGGGAGCCCGCGUGCGC